rnacentral:tRNA from 1 species
GCCCCCAUAGCUCAGGGGAUAGAGCGACGGCCUCCGGAGCCGUGUGCGCAGGUUCGAAUCCUGCUGGGGGCG